CCAUUUUCGAGGCGAUUAGUUUACUAAGAGCCAAGAUGUUGGCAUCUUAGUGGCGGACGGGUGAGUAACGCGUGGGUAACCUGCCUUACACUGGGGGAUAACACUUAGAAAUAGGUGCUAAUACCGCAUAACAGAGGGAGUCGCAUGACUUCGUCUUAAAAACUCCGGUGGUGUAGAUGGACCCGCGUCUGAUUAGCUGGUUGGCGGGGUAGCGGCCCACCAAGGCGACGAUCAGUAGCCGGCCUGAGAGGGUGAACGGCCACAUUGGGACUGAGACACGGCCCAAACUCCUACGGGAGGCAGCAGUGGGGAAUA
rnacentral:rRNA from 1 species